rnacentral:rRNA from 1 species
GAGUUUGAUCCUGGCUCAGGACGAACGCUGGCGGCGUGCUUAACACAUGCGAGUCAGGGAGAAAUUUCGAGCUUGCUCGAAAGAGUAAACCGGCGGACGGGUGAGUAACACGUAGGUAACCUGCCCUUGGGAUCGGGAUAACCUUGCUAACGCGGGGCUAAUACCGGAUAAUGCAGCGGAUUCGCAUGAAUAUGUUGUUAAAGCGGGCUUCGGCUCGCACCUAAGGAUGGACCUGCGCCCCAUUAGCUAGUUGGUGAGGUAACGGCUCACCAAGGCAACGAUGGGUAGCCGGCCUGAGAGGGUGAACGGCCACACUGGGACUGAGAUACGGCCCAGACUCCUACGGGAGGCAGCAGUGAGGAAUAUUGGGCAAUGGCCGAAAGGCUGACCCAGCAACGCCGCGUGAGGGAUGAAGCUCUAAGGAGUGUAAACCUCUUUCGGGAGGGAAGAACUCCUCUGAAGUGAAUAAUUUCAGAGGCUGACGGUACCUCUCAGAGAAGCCCCGGCUAACUCCGUGCCAGCAGCCGCGGUAAUACGGGGGGGGCAAGCGUUGUCCGGAAUUAUUGGGCGUAAAGGGCGCGUAGGCGGAAUGGUAAGUCAGGGGUGCAAAUCCUGAGCUCAACUCAGGACCUGCCCUUGAUACUGCCGUUCUUGAGUGCGAGAGAGGAAAGUGGAAUUCCCGGGGUAGCGGGUGAAAUGCGUAUAUAUCGGGGAAGAACACCGGUAGCGAAGGCGGCUUUUCGGCUCGCAACUUGAGGCUGGAGGCGCGAAAGCGUGGGGAGCAAACAGGAUUAGAUACCCUGGUAGUCCACGCCGUAAACGAUGGGCACUAGGUGUUGGCGGAUUCGACCCCGUCAGUGCCGUAGCUAACGCAUUAAGUGCCCCGCCUGGGGAGUACGACCGCAAGGUUGAAACUCAAAGGAAUUGACGGGGGCCCGCACAAGCGGUGGAGCAUGUGGUUUAAUUCGAUGCAACGCGAAGAACCUUACCUGGGCUUGACAUGUUGCUGGUACCAACCUGAAAGGGAAGGGACCUCUAGCUUGCUAGAGGAGGUAACACAGGUGCUGCAUGGCUGUCGUCAGCUCGUGUCGUGAGAUGUUGGGUUAAGUCCCGCAACGAGCGCAACCCUUGUCCCUAGUUGCCAUCAGGUUAUGCUGGGAACUCUAGGGAGACUGCCGGUGAUAAGCCGGAGGAAGGUGGGGAUGACGUCAAGUCCUCAUGGCCCUUAUGCCCAGGGCUACACACGUGCUACAAUGGUCGGUACAGCGGGGGGCGAAGCCGCGAGGUGGAGCAAAUCCCUCAAAACCGGUCUCAGUUCGGAUUGCAGUCUGCAACUCGACUGCAUGAAGUCGGAAUCGCUAGUAAUCGCGGAUCAGCAUUCCGCGGUGAAUACGUUCCCGGGCCUUGUACACACCGCCCGUCACGCCAUGGAAGUCGGUAGCACCCAAUGUCGCUGGCCCAACCCUCGGGAGGGAGGCGCCUAAGGUGAGAUCGAUGACUGGGGCGAAGUCGUAACAAGGUAUCC